rnacentral:rRNA from 1 species
CGCGGCGGCAGGCUUAACACAUACAAGUCGAGCGGGGGAAGGUAGCUUGCUACUGGACCUAGCGGGGGAAGGGUGAGUAACGCUUAGGAAUCUGCCUCUUAGUGGGGGACAACAUCUCGAAAGGGAUGCUAAUACCGCAUACGUCCUACGGGAGAAAGCAGGGGAUCUUCGGACCUUGCGCUAAUAGAUGAGCCUAAGUGGGAUUAGCUAGUUGGUGGGGUAAAGGCCUACCAAGGCGACGAUCUGUAGCGGGUCUGAGAGGAUGAUCCGCCACACUGGGAAUGAGACACGGCCCAGACUCCUACGGGAGGCAGCAGUGGGGAAUAUUGGACAAUGGGGGGAACCCUGAUCCAGCCAUGCCGCGUGUGGAAGAAGGCCUUAUGGUUGUAAAGCACGUAAGCGAGGAGGAGGCUACUUUAGUUAAUACCUAGAGAUAGUGAC